ACCAACAACUACACCAACAACUACACACAAAAACACAUCCUCCACUACAUCCACAUUCUCGAAAUCAACCACCCCCACCCCCACGACAUCUACUACACCCGUACCUUCAAUAGUAAACAUUUCCACCACAACAUCGACUACCACAAUAACUGCAACGACAGCACCAGCAACUAGAACGGCAACAUCAUCACCAACAAACGAUGCGACAACAGCAACAACAACGACUGUUUUGGCCUCAACAGCAUGGCAAACAACAUCAUCACUUGGACUUUCACUAACAACAGCACAGCCUGGAUCAUCGGGUUUCGUAAGAGGCUAUCAACCGACGCUUACAGACACUUGCUACUUUUUAACCAUUUGGGUUCCAAACCACGAUUUUCAAAAUGCAGACAAUGUCAUCGCUCAAGCCUCCAACAGAACCUUCCCAGAGUGUGCCCACAUGUGUACUGGUAACCCCAGGUGUCUCGUCUUCGUGUUUCACAACAACGGGGACUGUAAAGUGGGAGAUACUUGGUCGCCAAGUCUGUGGACAAAUGCCACCAUGUCUUCACGUGUGUACAGAUUGGUGCGCAUGGACACAAAUACGUAUUUAUACGCCCCCUAGUCAUGCAUCCACAGCCCGCUCGGUUGUGGAUCAGAAGUAGUCCACUGGGUGAGAAUUAUAGCUCAAAUUCGAUUUGUGGAAUUGGGUAUGAUUUUCAAUUUCCAAAUAACAACAAUGGUGAGUACACCAAAUGUUCAAAUAUACGUGAGUGAGUGAGUGAGUAUGGUUUUACGCCGCUGUCAGCACUAUUGGGGGCGUCAUUUAUUGCAUGGUGUAUAUAUGCACACAACUCGUAUACUACAUAUUCAUCAUGGGCACGUUUUCAUGACAGUCACUGAAAAAUAUACCCUAUAAACCUUGGUGUCAGUGAAAACCUUGGACAGUCAGUACCUUGGAGAGUCAGUGAAAACCUUGGAGAGUCAGUGAAAACCUUGGAGAGUCAGUGAAAACCUUGGUCAGUCAGUGAAAA